AGAACGAACGCUGGCGGCAUGCCUAACACAUGCAAGUCGAACGAGACCUUCGGGUCUAGUGGCGCACGGGUGCGUAACGCGUGGGAAUCUGCCCUUGGGUGCGGAAUAACAGUUGGAAACGACUGCUAAUACCGCAUAAUGACUCCGGUCCAAAGAUUUAUCGCCCAGGGAUGAGCCCGCGUAGGAUUAGCUAGUUGGUGAGGUAAAAGCUCACCAAGGCGACGAUCCUUAGCUGGUCUGAGAGGAUGAUCAGCCACACUGGGACUGAGACACGGCCCAGACUCCUACGGGAGGCAGCAGUGGGGAAUAUUGGACAAUGGGCGAAAGCCUGAUCCAGCAACGCCGCGUGAGGGAUGACGGCCUUCGGGUUGUAAACCUCUUUCAGCAGGGACGAAGCGAAAGUGACGGUACCUGCAGAAGAAGGACCGGCCAACUACGUGCCAGCAGCCGC
rnacentral:rRNA from 1 species